rnacentral:rRNA from 1 species
CACGUAGUUAGCCGGGGCUUCUUACUCAGGUACCGUCAUUUUCUUCCCUGCUGAUAGAAGUUUACAUACCGAAAUACUUCUUCCUUCACGCGGCGUCGCUGCAUCAGGGUUUCCCCCAUUGUGCAAUAUUCCCCACUGCUGCCUCCCGUAGGAGUUUGGGCCGUGUCUCAGUCCCAAUGUGGCCGGUCACCCUCUCAGGUCGGCUACUGAUCGUCGCCUUGGUAGGCCGUUACCCCACCAACCAGCUAAUCAGACGCGGGUCCAUCUCGUACCACCUCAGUUUUUCACACAAUACCAUGCAGUAUCGUGCGCUUAUGCGGUAUUAGCAGUCGUUUCCAACUGUUGUCCCCCUGUACGAGGCAGGUUACCCACGCGUUACUCACCCGUCCGCCACUCAGUCACCAUUUCCCUCCUCCGAAGAUUCGUUCCAUGCUGCUUCGUUCGACUUGCAUGUGUUAAGCACGCCGCCAGCGUUCAUCCUGAGCCAGGAUCAAACUCU